AGCACCCGCACGGUAACGUCCACUUCCGUCGAACGGUAUUAUUUCACUGUCCGUUUUUGUACGACGCACGCUAAGGAAAAAUUAUCUCCCUGCCACUCUCUUGGAGCCCCCAAACCCCACACCACGAGCUAAUAAUCGUCUGGUCUGGGGGCUAAACGUUCCAUGGCCCCAACGGCGGCACAUCGGCGUUUUAGGUGCAAGCUUUGAAGUUUAGCCAGUGACUGAGACGACGUAAAUAGUGUGUCCGGAAGUGUAGUUAUCGUGGUGUCCAGGCUGGUGGCAAGAAGCGGAGAGCUCUAGUUGGUGUGUAUGUGUUGCCACAUUGUCUCAUAUCACCUUCCCCCCACCCCUUCUAUUCUGGUAGAGCCUAUCUACCACUGCCAUCAUCGUGGGGGUCAACAUGAUGUGCCACCGGCAAAAAGAAAAACCAGUGUGAGCCUAUGGGUUGAGGAAGCGUAGAGCGAGUUAA
rnacentral:misc_RNA from 1 species